rnacentral:rRNA from 1 species
AUGGCAGAUCGGCAAAGGCGUGAUCCUGCUCAGGAAGCAAUUGAUUUGAAGGUACUCAAUGACCAAGAGGAAGCAGACAUUGGCAGUCAACAUGCCGAAUUCUUGGCCUCGACAGUUUCUGCGGAUGCGUAUGCUGAGAAGAUAGACUUGAAACUUAGGACGGUUUCUUUUCAAGGGGGUGAGGAGGAUGUGGCCAACACUAGUUCUAUUUGUACCGUCGACCACCAUGACAUACAAGACGUUGGUCUGAUUCAAGUUAAGGUAGUUUCGCUCGUCACUAACCAUACGAGCUUUGGUGGAAGGACAAGUUUUAUCGAGAUCAUGCAUCGCGUGGAAGAAGCAAUAAUUGAUUUGAUGGUACUCAAAGACCAAGAGGAAGAAGACGUGGGCAUUCAACAUGCCGAAUUCUUGGCCUCGACAUUUUCUGCGGAUGCAUAUGCUGAGAAGAUAGACUUGAAACUUAGGACGGUUUCGUUUCACGGGGGUGAGGAGGAUGUGGCCAACACUAGUUCUAUUUGUACCGUCGACCACCAUGACAUACAAGACGUUGGUCUGAUUCAAGUUAAGGUAGUUUCGCUCGUCACUACUAAUGGAAGAAUCCUAAUUGGUUACUACUUCUCACGAUCAAGGCCACCGGAGAUAUAUGUGUACAUGAGCAGCUUGUGUGUUGGUUACGUCUACUUCGACGGGAGGUUCUUCGUGUGUCGAGGGAUUAUCCAUGGGUUGUUGUUAGCCUAUCUUCAGAACCAUACGAGCUUUGGUGGAAGGACAAGUUUUGUCGAGAUCACGCAGCAUGUCUAUAGCAGUAUGGCAGAUCGGCAAAGGGGUGAUCAUGCUCAGGAAGCAAUUGAUGUGAAGGUAAUCAAUGACCAAGAGGAAGCAGACGUGGACAUUCAACAUGCUGAAUUUUUGGCCGCGGCAGUUUUUGCGAAUGCAUAUGCUGAGAAGAUAGAAUCGAAACCGAGGACAGUUUCAUUUCAAUGGGUAGAGGAUGAUAUGGCCAACACUAGUUCUAUUUGUACCCUCGACCACCAAGACAUACAAGACUUUGAUGGGGACUGGAGGAGACUUUGGUCGGCUGGUUCAGCCCAAUAUCGGCGUCGGCUCUCGAUGUCAUUACCCUCCUUGGAGGCAAAGCUGAGGUCCCUCCUAUCCAGCCCCAACCCCCUCCCGAACGAGCGAGAGUCCAAAAUCCGAAUUGGAUUGGGCGUUGGUGACCCUGCACAUUGUACCCCUCCAUGGGGGCGCCAUCUUGGGAAGCUUGGGUGUUGGGGGGAGAGUUGCUAUGGUUGGUGGAAUCCGCGUGGCAUGGUCUCUAGCGGCGGCGAUGUUGUGGAGGUUGCCCAAGAAAUGGCGCCUCUCAAGGUGACAGCUGCCUUAUGUGCCGUGCUGGUCCUGAUGAUCCAGCUGCAGGCGCCGGCGGCCGCACAGGACAUAACAUGCGACGAGUGCGGACCGGGAUGUGGCCAGGCGUGCAAUGCGCAGCGCCCCUACUUCUGCAACAGCUUCUGCAACAUCUUUCCCACCCUGUGCAACUACUGCUCCCUCAUCCAAUCCGACUUGUGCGUGCCCGAGUGCACAAACCUCUGCAGGAUCAACUGUGUGCGAUCGAUCAUGCAGGAACGCAUCGACAUGCGUGGAUUCAAGAGUGUCGAUGAGCGUGCCUGCGUUGCCAUUGUUAUAUUUGCUGCUCUAUGUGCAAUAAGUUGA